rnacentral:rRNA from 1 species
AGUGAACGCUGGCGGUAGGCCUAACACAUGCAAGUCGAACGGCAGCACAGUAAGAGCUUGCUCUUACGGGUGGCGAGUGGCGGACGGGUGAGGAAUACAUCGGAAUCUACUUUUUCGUGGGGGAUAACGUAGGGAAACUUACGCUAAUACCGCAUACGACCUACGGGUGAAAGCAGGGGAUCUUCGGACCUUGCGCGAUUGAAUGAGCCGAUGUUGGAUUAGCUAGUUGGCGGGGUAAAGGCCCACCAAGGCGACGAUCCGUAGCUGGUCUGAGAGGAUGAUCAGCCACACUGGAACUGAGACACGGUCCAGACUCCUACGGGAGGCAGCAGUGGGGAAUAUUGGACAAAGGGCGCAAGCCUGAUCCAGCCAUACCGCGUGGGUGAAGAAGGCCUUCGGGUUGUAAAGCCCUUUUGUUGGGAAAGAAAAGCAGCAGGUUAAUACCCCGCUGUUCUGACGGUACCCAAAGAAUAAGCACCGGCUAACUUCGUG